rnacentral:rRNA from 1 species
GCCCUAAUACAUGCAAGUCGAGCGGACAGAUGGGAGCUUGCUCCCUGAUGUUAGCGGCGGACGGGUGAGUAACACGUGGGUAACCUGCCUGUAAGACUGGGAUAACUCCGGGAAACCGGGGCUAAUACCGGAUGGUUGUUUGAACCGCAUGGUUCAGACAUAAAAGGUGGCUUCGGCUACCACUUACAGAUGGACCCGCGGCGCAUUAGCUAGUUGGUGAGGUAACGGCUCACCAAGGCGACGAUGCGUAGCCGACCUGAGAGGGUGAUCGGCCACACUGGGACUGAGACACGGCCCAGACUCCUACGGGAGGCAGCAGUAGGGAAUCUUCCGCAAUGGACGAAAGUCUGACGGAGCAACGCCGCGUGAGUGAUGAAGGUUUUCGGAUCGUAAAGCUCUGUUGUUAGGGAAGAACAAGUGCCGUUCAAAUAGGGCGGCACCUUGACGGUACCUAACCAGAAAGCCACGGCUAACUACGUGCCAGCAGCCGCGGUAAUACGUAGGUGGCAAGCGUUGUCCGGAAUUAUUGGGCGUAAAGGGCUCGCAGGCGGUUUCUUAAGUCUGAUGUGAAAGCCCCCGGCUCAACCGGGGAGGGUCAUUGGAAACUGGGGAACUUGAGUGCAGAAGAGGAGAGUGGAAUUCCACGUGUAGCGGUGAAAUGCGUAGAGAUGUGGAGGAACACCAGUGGCGAAGGCGACUCUCUGGUCUGUAACUGACGCUGAGGAGCGAAAGCGUGGGGAGCGAACAGGAUUAGAUACCCUGGUAGUCCACGCCGUAAACGAUGAGUGCUAAGUGUUAGGGGGUUUCCGCCCCUUAGUGCUGCAGCUAACGCAUUAAGCACUCCGCCUGGGGAGUACGGUCGCAAGACUGAAACUCAAAGGAAUUGACGGGGGCCCGCACAAAGCGGGUGGAGCAUGUGGGUUUAAUUCGAAGCAACGCGAAGAAACCUUACCAAGUCUUGACAUCCUCUGACCAAUCCUAGAAGAUAAGGACGUCCCCCUUCCGGGGGCAGAGUUGACAGGUGG